UUCCACUUUAUUUUCACUUGACUCCCAUGCAAUUGAAGAAAAAAAUAGAGAGAAUCAACUAAGGAAAGAAAGGAGAGAAAGGUGAAAGGCUUGGGUAGUAAGUGAUUCAAGAGUAAUUGAAGAAAUAUCAAGUGGGUCUCAAGAUUCAAGAAACAUAAGGAAGUACAAAAGUAAAGGUAGUGCACUAUGGUAGCAUGCUAGAGGAAAUAACGAGUGACCGGCAAGUAGCAAUAGCUAGAUACACCUCCGAACUAAUAGCGAUGUAACAUCCCGCUAUUGUAAGGUUUUCUGAGUUAAAGGUGACUGGUCCUAAGAUGAGGUGCUCUUCCCUAUCUAUUGCUCGGUAGGUUUACCAUGACACUAAAUGUUAGCAACUGUGCCUAGAGUCACUCCGCUGAUGGUCAAAGUCUAAUUAUGUGUAUAUGAAUGCUUGAUGUGAAAUGCUAAAACUCAUUUGUCAAGCUAUAUAUGUAUAUUAUAGUUGAUGAUGCCAUUAUGAA